rnacentral:rRNA from 1 species
UAGCCAAGUUUGGAAGGGAUAAACGCUGAAGGCAUCUAAGCGUGAAGCCCCCCUCAAGAUAAGAUAUCCCAUAGCACAAGCUAGUAAGACCCCUUAAAGACGAUAAGGUUGAUAGGUGGGAGGUGGAAGCGUAGUAAUACGUGCAGCUGACCCAUACUAAUAGGUCGAGGGCUUAACCAA